UACGGGGGGGGCAAGCGUUGUUCGGAAUUACUGGGCGUAAAGGGCUCGUAGGCGGCCAACUAAGUCAGACGUGAAAUCCCCAGGCUUAACCUGGGAACUGCGUCUGAUACUGGAUGGCUUGAAUUCGGGAGAGGGAAGCGGAAUUCCGGGUGUAGCGGUGAAAUGCGUAGAUAUCCGGAGGAACACCGGUGGCGAAGGCGGGUUGCUGGGCCGACACUGACGCUGAGGCGCGAAAGCUAGGGGAGCGAACGGG
rnacentral:rRNA from 1 species